AGUAGGUCCACAGGAGUACCUUUAAAGUACAACAUGUACAUGAUAAAUGCAGGAACAGCAACACGUCAAUCGAAAACUUAAUGGGUGGGAAGCAGUUUGACGUCGUGUAUGGACGUUGUAGGCUACCGUAGGCUACUACGCAAAACACGGAAGCUGCGCACUAUUGCAGCGUUCGAGACAACACGGAGCUCAUGCUCCAACCAAGUAACCUUGGUUCACAGAACCCAGCUUGAACUUGAAAAAAAAAACUCCUGCGCAGAAAUGGGCCAAGACGGACAUUGCACAGUGCACCACAGAUUUACUCCGACAGGAAACUCAGACAAAUAAUGAUCCUGUCUCUGUGACACGUUAUUUUCAACAUCAUUAUCAUUAUCGGCCAGUGUUUUUCAUGCUUUUUUGUGCCACGGCACACUUUUGACACUUAAAA